UACGUAGGGCGCGAGCGUUGUCCGGAAUCAUUGGGCGUAAAGAGCUCGUAGGCGGCCUGUCGCGUCUGCUGUGAAAUCCCGGGGCUUAACCCCGGGCGUGCAGUGGAUACGGGCUGGCUGGAGGCAGGCAGGGGAGAACGGAAUUCCCGGUGUAGCGGUGAAAUACGCAGAUAUCGGGAGGAACACCGGUGGCGAAGGCGGUUCUCUGGGCCUGUACUGACGCUGAGGAGCGAAAGCGUGGGGAGCGAACAGG
rnacentral:rRNA from 1 species